rnacentral:SRP_RNA from 1 species
GUUCGGGCCCUGUGCGACGGAAGUCUCCGAACCUCGUCAGGUCCGGAAGGAAGCAGCGAUCAGGAGGCGCCACCGUGCGCCGCAGGUCAACCUGAAUCCA